GAUGAACGCUGGCGGCGUGCCUAAUACAUGCAAGUCGAGCGAACGGACGAGAAGCUUGCUUCUCUGAUGUUAGCGGCGGACGGGUGAGUAACACGUGGAUAACCUACCUAUAAGACUGGGAUAACUUCGGGAAACCGGAGCUAAUACCGGAUGAUAUUUUGAACCGCAUGGUUCAAAAGUGAAAGACGGUCUUGCGGUCACUUAUAGAUGGAUCCGCGCUGCAUUAGCUAGUUGGUAAGGUAACGGCUUACCAAGGCAACGAUGCAUAGCCGACCUGAGAGGGUGAUCGGCCACACUGGAGCUGAGGCACGGUCCAGACUCCUACGGGAGGCAGCAGUAGGGAAUCUUCCGCAAUGGGCGAAAGCCUGACGGAGCAACGCCGCGUGAGUGAUGAAGGUCUUCGGAUCGUAAAACUCUGUUAUUAGGGAAGAACAUAUGUGUAAGUAACUGUGCACAUCUUGACGGUACCUAAUCAGAAAGCCCCGGCUAACUACGUG
rnacentral:rRNA from 1 species